GACGUAGGGCGCGAGCGUUGUCCGGAUUUAUUGGGCGUAAAGAGCUCGUAGGCGGCUUGUUGCGUCGGCUGUGAAAACCCAUGGCUCAACCGUGGGCUUGCAGCCCGAUACGGGCAGGCUAGAGUCGGUAGGGGGAGACUGGAAUUCCUGGUGUAGCGGUGAAAAUGCGCAGAUAUCAGGAGGAACACCGGUGGCGAAAGGCGGGGUCUCUGGGGCCGAUACUGACGCUGAGGAGCGAAAAGCGUGGGGGAGCGAACAGG
rnacentral:rRNA from 1 species